UGCCAGCCGCCGCGGUAAUACGGAGGGGGUUAGCGUUGUUCGGAAUUACUGGGCGUAAAGCGCUCGUAGGCGGUUUGUUAAGUCGGAUGUGAAAGCCCCGGGCUCAACCUGGGAACUGCAUUCGAUACUGACAAACUAGAGUAUAGUAGAGGCAAGUGGAAUUCCGGGUGUAGCGGUGAAAUGCGUAGAUAUCCGGAGGAACAUCAGUGGCGAAGGCGACUUGCUGGACUAAUACUGACGCUGAGGAGCGAAAGCGUGGGGAGCAAACAGGAUUAGAUA
rnacentral:rRNA from 1 species